rnacentral:rRNA from 1 species
CAGCAGCCGCGGUAAUACGUAGGGCGCAAGCGUUGUCCGGAAUUAUUGGGCGUAAAGAGCUCGUAGGCGGUUUGUCGCGUCUGGUGUGAAAUCUCGAGGCUCAACCUCGAGCUUGCAUCGGGUACGGGCAGACUAGAGUGCGGUAGGGGAGACUGGAAUUCCUGGUGUAGCGGUGGAAUGCGCAGAUAUCAGGAGGAACACCGAUGGCGAAGGCAGGUCUCUGGGCCGCAACUGACGCUGAGGAGCGAAAGCAUGGGGAGCGAACAGGAUUAGAUACCCUGGUAGUCCAUGCCGUAAACGUUGGGCACUAGGUGUGGGGCUCAUUCCACGAGUUCCGUGCCGCAGCAAACGCAUUAAGUGCCCCGCCUGGGGAGUACGGCCGCAAGGCUAAAACUCAAAGGAAUUGACG